rnacentral:tRNA from 1 species
GGGGGAAUAGCUCUGUGAUAGAGCGCUGGAUUCCAGUCCCAGCGGUCGGGGGUUCGAUCCCCUCUUCCCUCA